rnacentral:rRNA from 1 species
UACGGGAUAAUAUAUUUGAGAGGCAUCUCUUGAAUAUCAAAGGUGAGCCAGUACAGGAUGGACCCGCGUCUGAUUAGCUAGUUGGUAAGGUAACGGCUUACCAAGGCGACGAUCAGUAGCCGACCUGGGAGGGUGAUCGGCCACAUUGGAACUGAGACACGGUCCAAACUCCUACGGGAGGCAGCAGUGGGGAAUAUUGCACAAUGGGCGAAAGCCUGAUG